UACGGGGGGGGGUAAGCGUUGUUCGGAAUUACUGGGCGUAAAGGGCUCGUAGGCGGCCAACUAAGUCAGACGUGAAAUCCCUCAGCUUAACUGGGGAACUGCGUCUGAUACUGGAUGGCUUGGAUUCGGGAGAGGAAUGCGGAAUUCCAGGUGUAGCGGUGAAAUGCGUAGAUAUCUGGAGGAACACCGGUGGCGAAGGCGGCAUUCUGGACCGAUAUUGACGCUGAGGAGCGAAAGCCAGG
rnacentral:rRNA from 1 species